CAUGGACUGGUAUGCAGAUACGGCGCCACCGACCACCUGACAAGCGACCUUGAUCGUCUUAGCCUCCAUCAGCGCUAUGAUGGAAAGGACAAGGUGCACGUAGCCAACGGAGCAGGACCGAGCAAUGAAGGCGGUUCUUCUUCAAAGUAGAUGCCGCAAUGGCCUCUACCCGGUGCCAAGCUACAAGCAGUCGUCCCUCGUGUCCGGUCCUCGAGCUCUCUCCAGUGUCAGGCUAUCUUCAGAUUUGUGGCAUACAAGAUUAGGUCAUCCGUCCAAAAACGUCGUUGAUUCAGUUCUUAGGAUAAAUAAAUUUGCUUGUGCACCCUCUACCAA